AUGACUGGGGUGAAGUCGUAACAAGGUAGCCGUACCGGAAGGUGCGGCUGGAUCACCUCCUAACAGGGAGACAAAACUGAUCGUGAUGUCUGAGAUAAAUUGUCUUAGGCCAUGAUCCUGUCACCUUAGGUCGAUCGGUACCUCAGAUUUUUCAAAUCAGGCGAUAUACCUGAAUCUUUGAUUGAUUUCAGUUCCUAAACUUUGUCUAGGUCACACCCAGCAAGGGUACUCCUGGGCCAUUAGCUCAGGUGGUUAGAGCGCACCCCUGAUAAGGGUGAGGUCCCUGGUUCAAGUCCAGGAUGGCCCAUUCGUUGUUGGGGGUAUAGCUCAGUUGGUAGAGCGCCUGCUUUGCAAGCAGGAUGUCAGCGGUUCGAGUCCGCUUACCUCCACUGAUCAACUCCCUAUGGCGAAGUCAUGGAGUUUGCUUUUGCUAGUUGUGAUCUAUAGAUUCCGUUUUAUCUGAAAUGAACCUAGCUUCCUAUCAUUCAAAAACUAAUUUUAGUUUAGGUUGAAAGGACGCUGGGCUCACUUAAAUUCUUCCGAAUUUUUGUAAGUUCAGUAGAACCUUGAAAACUGCAUAGGUGAGUCUAGAAAAUAAAGCAUCUCAUGGAUGCAUUGUUUUGAGACAAUUCAAAUUAUUGUUAUUGCAAUAAUUGAAUUGUUAAAUUAACAAUGUUUUUAUUGAGCAAAAGCCGAGACUCUAGAUUUAAUUCUUAAUUCUCUUUAAGAGAAUAAAUUUCUGAUUUGAGAUAAAUUUUUCUCAUUUUGGAUUCUUAUUGAAUUAUUUUUGGAGAUUAAUAUGGUCAAGCUACAA
rnacentral:misc_RNA from 1 species